GGGGGGGGGGUGGCAGAAGCUCUGGGAAGCAGGUGAGGGGGACAGAUGCAGAGGCUGGGCACUGUGGGGCAGUGGAUGCAGUAGGUUUCAGUGGAGACAAGUAAGGAGCAAGGAAGUCAGUUGUGCCCAUCACGUGCCCCCUUACUGCUACUUUCCAUGCUGUAGCUGUAGGGGGAUGAUUUUAAGACGACUCUGAUAAUUCAAUUCUAUGCAUGGAAAAUUAUAACAAACAUAUAUCUUCUAUCUAUAGAAUCUAAUUAUUUGGUGGGGAAGGUUGACUUAGCUGAUUUAAUACUUUAAAUUUCAAAGUAGUAUCCUGACAAAAUAAAAUUCUGGACGAUAUCCUUUAAUGUCAGUGACUCUUUUCCACUUAAUAUAAUAGGCUAGCACAUACUGCAUUUGAUUUAAGCACAGAGCAACUGCUCUGCCAUGUUCCUCUCCUAACUCUUAAUGAGGUAACAUAGGGGAGGGAGAAAAACUUGAAAGUUCCAUGAUGUGACACAGCUUUGAACUUUUCUGAAGUGUGUGUCUGAUCUCAAGCAAGCUGAAAUUGACCUAGUUAAACUUUUUUUUUUUUUUGUCAGCUUGGUGCUUCUGAAAGGUCGGCUACAACUUAGUCACUUGAAUACUAUCUGACUGCAGCUGUUGCUGACAACUUGCAUGAGAGAAACAACAGAUCAACAAAGAGCACAAGUCUCCUUAAGAGAAGACCAUCACACAAAAUGACAUUGGUCCUUCUGGAUGGGCAGAUUUUCUAGAAAUGUAAAGGUACAGAGCAACGGAAAGGGAAUAUUUACUUAGCUACAUCUUCUACAGGCUGCAGAAGGGGAAGAGGCCUGAAACUUGAAUGGCAGCUGUAGUAAUACACGCCUCCGGAUUCAUUACCCCAGCCCAUAGCAGUUUGUUCUAAUUCUAGUAUUAAAAGGGCAUUGAAUAUCAUA